GGCCUAUAGAUUUUAAUUUUAGGUCUUACCUGCCCAAUGAUUGAUAUUUAAUGGCCGCGGUAUUUUGACCGUGCAAAGGUAGCAUAAUCAUUAGUUUUUUAAUUGAAAGCUUGUAUGAAGGGUUUAAUGAGAAAGUAGCUGUCUCUAUUUAAAUUUUUUUGAAGUUUAUUUUUAAGUAAAAAAGCUUAAAUAAAUAUAGAAGACGAGAAGACCCUAUAGAGUUUUAUAAUUAUUUAAAUGAAUAAAUUUUUAGUAUUAUGAUAUUUAUUUUGGUAAUUAUUUUAUUGGGGUGAUUGAAAAAUUGAUUAAACUUUUUUUUUAUAAAAUCAUUAAUUAGUGAAAAAUUGAUCCUUAAUUUAAGAUUAGAAGAUGAAAUUACCUUAGGGAUAACAGCGUAAUUUUUUUUAGAGUUCUUAUCGAAAAAGAAGAUUGCGACCUCGAUGUUGGAUUAAAAGAAAUUGUUGGUGUAGAGGCUAAUAAAUUAGGUCUGUUCGACCUUUAAAAUUUUACAUGAUCUGAGUUUAAACCGGUGUGAG
rnacentral:rRNA from 1 species